AGCUCCAAUAGCGUAUAUUAAAGUUGUUGCAGUUAAAAAGCUCGUAGUUGGAUUUCGGGGCGGCCCGGCCGGUCCGCCGCAAGGCGAGCACUGGUCGGGCGCCCUUCCUCUCGAAGGCUUCGACUGCUCUUCGUUGUGGUGGUCGAGGAGUUCGGGACGUUUACUUUGAAAAAAUUAGAGUGUUCAAGGCAGGCUCGCCAGCUUGAAUACAUGAGCAUGGAAUAAUGGAAUAGGACUACGGUCCCUAUUUCGUUGGUUUGACGGACCGAAGUAAUGAUUAAGAGGGACAAUUGGGGGCAUCCGUAUUUCGUAGUCAGAGGUGAAAUUCUUGGACCUACGAAAGACGAACAACUGCGAAAGCAUUUGCCAAGAGUGUUUUCAUUAAUCAAGAACGAAAGUA
rnacentral:rRNA from 1 species